ensembl:lncRNA
CACGGCGAGGCAAGGAGAUGGGCCUCGGGGCCGCAGGGCCUCGUGACCCACUUACAACCCCCCCGAGACUGAUCGGCAUCGGCCUGCCAGUUACAGUUAUGUAACUGAUGCUGGGAAAAGCAAGGAGAAGAAUUACAAGAGUAAAAAAAAAGAAAGGAGUCCAAUGUCUACCAGUGAAGAGGGCCCACGGCUCAACAACGUCCUCAAUGUUUCUAUUUUCAACAAAAGAGGGGCUCGUCAGAGAGGAUCAUCCCAUCAGAUGGGAUCUGGGCGGGAUGUCGGAUGCUCACACUAAUACCACGAUUCUGCUGCUGUUACACGGUUUAUGAAUCAGCCCCCACUGAGAGACACCUACGCCCAUCACUGCGGGCAAGCACCAUCCCCACCGCGGCUUUCCCCCUCAUCACUCCGCUCCGCUUCUCGAGCUGUGAUCUGAUUGGCUGUUGGAGGGGUGAGGCUCACUGCAGAGGCAAGAACAGCGGGUGCAGGGUGGGGUGGGCUUCCCCCUCUAGGCACGACUCACACACACAUAACCAACCACCCACCUACACACACACACACACACACGCAGGGAAUCCCUCCUCACUGUUUGCCGCAUGUCUCGUUUUCCAUUACACGCCGCCAUCGAAUCGUUCACCGCAUAAUCACGUUGGGAAGCAGUGCGCACCAAAUGUGAUUGAGUGGUUUUGGUAAUCUGAGGUUUCUUUUUUCUUCUAAGGUUUACCAGAUUUCACCUUUUGUCAGGAGGAGUUUGAGCGUGACUCCCAGCGCUGUGUUAUUUAUAGGGGGGGUCUGGGGUCCAGAGCUGAUGGUUAUGCACGGCUCUGCCAUCACAGGGUAAGACGACACACACCGGGAGGCAGCUGUCGAGCUAAGCUUGGGUUUCACUGAUGUGUGAGAUUGGCGGUGUUUGUUUGUGACAGCAGCGAAGUUGGCAUGAGGGAGCCCCCAGUGGAUUGGGAGAGGGACGUAUUUCCAGUUCUGUGUUGUGAGGGUGUGUUUGUGUGUUGUGAAUGUUAGUAUGCGUGCGUCAGAGGGAGGAACACAGACACUGAAAGGGCACAGCGACCUUUUGUAUACUGUUAAAAUGUAUAAACAUUCUCAAUGUGAAUGUGGGAUAUUUAUACUGGUACGGACGGGUUAAUGUUUUAGGAACGAAAGGAUGCCACACAACUGUGGGUUUCUACAGUGCCAUUAUUUCAGACAAAGCUACUGAUGUAGCUAGAGAGAGUAUGUCGUGUGACAUAAAAGAUACAUCUCAUGCAAAAAGCAAAUUUAUCAAAUUAAAUGUUAAUGCGUUGUAAAAAAAAAGAAUAUAACACAACAUUAAUGUGGAUUUGUGCAUUUUGCCUUUUGGAAAGCCC